rnacentral:rRNA from 1 species
AUCGAACGCUGGCGGCAGGCUUAACACAUGCAAGUCGAGCGAGCGGCGGACGGGUGAGUGGUGUCUGGGAAACUGCCUGAUGGAGGGGGCUAACUACUGGAAACGGUAGCUACUACCGCAUACCAUCAGUUGUGGCCAGAUGGGAUUAGCUAGCAGGUGGGGUAAUGGCUCACCUAGGCGACGAUCCCCAGCUGGUCUGAGAGGGUGACCGGCCACACUGGGACUGAGACACGGCCCAGACUCCUACGGGAGGCAGCAGUGGGGAAUAUUGGACAAUGGGCGCAAGUCUGAUCGAGCAACGCCGCGUGAGUGAAGAAGGCUUUCGGGUUGUAAAGCACUGUCGGCGGGGAAGCGGUACCUGAAGAGAAAGCACCGGCUAACUCCGUGCCAGCAGCCGCGGUAAUAC